rnacentral:rRNA from 1 species
AACGAACGCUGGCGGCAGGCCUAACACAUGCAAGUCGAGCGAGGACUUCGGUCCUAGCGGCGGACGGGUGAGUAACGCGUGGGAACGUGCCCUUUGCUUCGGAAUAGCCCUGGGAAACUGGGAGUAAUACCGGAUGAGCCCUUUGGGGGAAAGAUUUAUCGGCGAAGGAUCGGCCCGCGUUGGAUUAGGUAGUUGGUGGGGUAAUGGCCUACCAAGCCGACGAUCCAUAGCUGGUUUGAGAGGAUGAUCAGCCACACUGGGACUGAGACACGGCCCAGACUCCUACGGGAGGCAGCAGUGGGGAAUCUUAGACAAUGGGGGAAACCCUGAGCUAGCCAUGCCGCGUGAGCGAUGAAGGCCUUAGGGUUGUAAAGCUCUUUCAGCUGGGAAGAUAAUGACGGUACCAGCAGAAGAAGCCCCGGCUAACUCCGU